AGAAGAGAAAGCAGAAAAAAUCUUCCGAAACAACCACAAAACAGGUAAUAAAAAGUCAAUAGAUACAUAUCUAUUAUAAUUACUUUGAAUUAAAUGGAUUUAACACUCCAUACAAAAGAAAGUGGGUGACAGAAUGGAUUAAAACAAAAACAAAAAAUAAGACCCAUCUAUAUGCUGCCUAUAAGAGAAUCAGUUUAGACCUAAAAUCACCUGCAGAUUAAAAGUAAGAGGAUGAAGAAACAUCU